AAAAUAAUCUUGCUUAAAAUAUAAGUGUAUUAAAAGAGAAAUAUUAAAAAUAUUUUUAAUAUUAAUGAAGAAUUUAGUAAUAUGAAUUGAAAUAAAAUAAUUUGAGGCGAUAGAGGAAAGUACUGUAAAGGAAUGAUGAAAUAAUUGAAAAUAUAUUUAAAGAAAAGUAGUAAUUAAAAUUCGUACCUUGUGUAUCAGGGGUAAUUAAAAUUUUCUUUUAAUAAAAGAAAUCCCGAAAAAAAAAGAGUUAAUUUAAAAUCAAAGUUUUCGUGUUAAUGAAAUUUUAAAUUUUAUUUUAGUGAUGAAAUGUCAGCCGAUUUUUUAUAUCUGGUUAUUAGUGAAUUAAAUUUAAUUUAGGCGUUUAAUGGUUAAAAAAGCUAGUAAAUGUAAAAGAAUAGGAGGGAAAAGCUUCUUAUUCUAUAAUAAAUAGAUUGAGGGUAUAUUAUUAAUUAAGAGUUAUAAAAUUAAGCUUAAAAACAGCUAUAUUAAUAAAGCGUUCUAGUUAAUAUAAUAUAAUUUAAUAUUUUUAUUAAAGCCCAGUGUUUGUAACUAAUAUUUUUAUAAAAUAUGAUUUUAGAAGUUAUACUGAUUAUAUUAGUAGAAAUUUAUUGUAGUAUUAUGAUUAUUAAAAUAAUGUAGGAUUUAUUAUAAUAUUAAGGUAUAAUUAAGGAAUUCGGCAAAAAUUACUUUUGCCUGUUUAUCAAAAACAUGUCUGUAUGGUUGUUAUAUAGAGUCUGGCCUGCCCACUGAUUUUAUUAAAGGGCCGCGGUAUCUUGACCGUGCGAAGGUAGCAUAAUCAUUAGUCUUUUAAUUGGAGGCUUGUAUGAAUGGUUGGACAAAAAGUUAGCUGUCUCGGUUAUAUUUAUUGAACUUAACUUUUAAGUGAAAAGGCUUAAAUAAACUAAGGGGACGAUAAGACCCUAUAAAGCUUUACAAUAAUUUAAUUAAAUUAUAAAUUGUUAGUAUAACUUAAUUUAAUUGAUAUUUGUUUCGUUGGGGCGACGAGAAUAUAAUUAUAUAACUGUUCUUUUAUAUAAUAACAAUAUUAUUUGGAAAAAGAUUGAUCCUUUAUUAAAGAUUAAAAGAUUAAGUUACUUUAGGGAUAACAGCGUAAUCUUCUUAGAGAGUUCAUAUCGACAAGAAGGGUUGCGACCUCGAUGUUGAAUUAAGGUAUCCUUACAGUGCAGCAGUUGUAAAGGAAGGUCUGUUCGACCUUUAAAUCCUUACAUGAUUUGAGUUCAGACCGGCGUAAGCCAGGUCGGUUUCUAUCUCUUAGGUGUAUAAAAUUACUUUAGUACGAAAGGAUUAAGUAGUUAAAAUAAUUUUUUCAGGAGAAAAAUUUUAAAAGG
rnacentral:rRNA from 1 species